rnacentral:rRNA from 1 species
GAUCCUGGCUCAGGAUGAACGCUAGCUACGGGCUUAACACAUGCAAGUCGAGGGGCAUCAGGGUGUAGCAAUACACCGCUGGCGACCGGCGCACGGGUGAGUAACACGUAUCCAACCUGCCCUUUACUCGGGGAUAGCCUUUCGAAAGAAAGAUUAAUACCCGAUGGUAUAACAUGACCUCCUGGUUUUGUUAUUAAAGAAUUUCGGUAGAGGAUGGGGAUGCGUUCCAUUAGGCAGUUGGCGGGGUAACGGCCCACC